rfam:Myotis lucifugus cont2.70946, whole genome shotgun sequence.
AGCUUUGCGCAGUGGCAGUAUUGUAACCAAUGAGUUUUAUCCGAGGCACGAUUAUUGCUAAUUGAAAGAAAAAAUAAUGGCCCCAAAGUGCAAGAGUAGUCAUGCUAGCAAUUCAGAUAUGACAACAAGAAGCCAGAAAGUGUU